GUGCCAGCAGCCGCGGUAAUACGUAGGGUGCUAGCGUUGUUCGGAAUCAUUGGGCGUAAAGCGCGUGUAGGUGGUUAGAUAAGUCGAUUGUGAAAUCCCUGGGCUUAACCGAGGAAGUGCAGUCGAAACUAUCUAGCUAGAGGAUGGCAGAGGAAGGUGGAAUUCCAAGUGUAGAGGUGAAAUUCGUAGAUAUUUGGAGGAAUACCGGUGGCGAAGGCGGCCCUCUGGACCAGUCCUGACACUGAGACGCGAAAGCGUGGGGAGCAAACAGGAUUAGAUACCCCGGUAGUCC
rnacentral:rRNA from 1 species